rnacentral:misc_RNA from 1 species
GGAAUGGAAAUUCAUUAAUUUUUAAGAUUAAUACAAUGCAACCAUACCACUACCCAUUCAAUACAAAUCUUUUAACAAAACCUACAAAGAGAACUACAAAACUUACAAAGAGAACUACAAAGAGAAGACAAUAUUAAACAUUUCAAUUACACUACUGCAAACAACACAAUUCCCUGUAAAACUAUAUAGGUGAUGCUUAGGUGUUCAACAAUUCACCCAUUUAUCAAAAUAACCUCUUAAUAACAGUAAAAAGAAACAACACCAGUGCAAGACCCAUCCACUUUCUUCCCCUCCUUCUCGUAGCCUCCAUUUCUCCUUUAAUCUUCUCAUUUCUCUUAAGAAGACUAGAAAUUAUUUGGCUCGCUCUAUAUGGGAAUGGAUCAUCGCACCAUUGGAGAAAUCCACAGUAGUUUGACCACCCAUAAUUCCUGCAUCCAAAGAAGCGCCUCCUUGGGUUUGUUGAAGACCACGAGGUACGUAAAUCCCCUUCAAUAUUACACCAGCAUCUUGGCCGAACCCUUCCAAUCGAGCUCUCUUUGCUGAUUUGAGACAUUAUUGAUGAAUGCUCGGUUGCUAUUCUUCAGGCUAACCUCUGUUGAAUCCCUCCUCAAGAAAAGGGGAGGGUAUGGUUAUGGCAUCUCAAACUCUUCUUCCUCUUUUAACUCAUCAAAUCCAGUUUAUAGAGUAAUGGAUUAGUGCAUGAAGGAGUGAGAAAGUAAGACAUCCACGUCAAGUUUUUUUCUUCUUUUUUU